rnacentral:hammerhead_ribozyme from 1 species
CUUUCACUGAAGAGAUGCAACCAGAUCGAAACUCCAGUGUCUCAAAG